CCUACGGGAGGCAGCAGUGAGGAAUAUUGGUCAAUGGACGAAAGUCUGAACCAGCCAUGCCGCGUGCAGGAAGACGGCUCUAUGAGUUGUAAACUGCUUUUGUACGAGGGUAAACGCAGAUACGCGUACCUGUCUGAAAGUAUCGUACGAAUAAGGAUCGGCUAACUCCGUGCCAGCAGCCGCGGUAAUACGGAGGAUUCAAGCGUUAUCCGGAUUUAUUGGGUUUAAAGGGUGCGUAGGCGGUCGGAUAAGUUAGAGGUGAAAUCCCGAGGCUCAACUUCGGAAUUGCCUCUGAUACUGUUCGGCUAGAGAGUAGUUGCGGUAGGCGGAAUGUGUGGUGUAGCGGUGAAAUGCUUAGAGAUCAUACAGAACACCGAUUGCGAAGGCAGCUUACCAAGCUACUUCUGACGUUGAGGCACGAAAGCGUGGGUAGCAAACAGGAUUAGAUACCCGAGUAGUC
rnacentral:rRNA from 1 species